rnacentral:tRNA from 1 species
GGGUAGUGGUUCAAUGGUUAGAAUGGCGUCCUUAUAAGGCGAAAGAUGUCGGUUCAAAUCCGACCUGACCCA